rnacentral:rRNA from 1 species
AGCGAACGCUGGCGGCAGGCCUAACACAUGCAAGUCGAACGAACCCUUCGGGGUUAGUGGCGGACGGGUGAGUAACACGUGGGAACGUGCCUUUAGGUUCGGAAUAACUCAGGGAAACUUGUGCUAAUACCGAAUGUGCCCUUCGGGGGAAAGAUUUAUCGCCUUUAGAGCGGCCCGCGUCUGAUUAGCUAGUUGGUGAGGUAAUGGCUCACCAAGGCUACGAUCAGUAGCUGGUCUGAGAGGAUGACCAGCCACAUUGGGACGGAGACACGGCCCAAACUCCUACGGGAGGCAGCAGUGGGGAAUCUUGCGCAAUGGGCGAAAGCCUGACGCAGCCAUGCCGCGUGGAUGAUGAAGGUCUUAGGACUGUAAAAUCCUUUCACCGGUGAAGAUAAUGACUGUAGCCGGAGAAGAAGCCCCGGCUAACUUCGUGCCAGCCGCCGCAGUAAAAC